CAACCCUCAAGCUCCCCGGCUUGGCGUUGGAGAUCGGCCCCGCCCCGGCGGCGCCGGCUCCGAAAUGUAUUGGCGGUCACGCCGCGGCUUCCUCUGCGUAGUAACAUCACUCGCUCUGGGACGCGGCGCGGCUAUGCCACAAAUAGUCGCUUGCGACACUUUUUCAA
rnacentral:misc_RNA from 1 species